GGUCCAGAGGAUGGCCCAGGACACACUGGAGAGACAAGGUCUCUUGUUUCUCCCAGAGGAGCUGGAGGAGGUGUCUGAACUUUUCUGCUGAGACUGCUGACCCCACGACCCGGUCCUGGAUAACAAGAAAACGAUGACUGAAAGAGGCAACAGGAAUGUUGUUUAGGUAGAAGAAGCAACAAAGCAGGUGAAAACACAACUUUACAGCAUUCACACAGUCAAAGAUGGAGUGGUCAGCAGGAAGGAACAGGAGAAGACGUGUGUUUCCUAUUAUAUAACCUCAACACUGUUUCCUGUUUGGCGUUUACAAAAAUAAAUCUGAUUUAUCUUUUUGAA